rnacentral:rRNA from 1 species
UACGUAGGGUGCGAGCGUUGUCCGGAAUUAUUGGGCGUAAAGAGCUCGUAGGCGGUUUGUCACGUCUGCUGUGAAAUCCCGAGGCUCAACCUCGGGCCUGCAGUGGGUACGGGCAGACUAGAGUGUGGUAGGGGAGACUGGAAUUCCUGGUGUAGCGGUGAAAUGCGCAGAUAUCAGGAGGAACACCGAUGGCGAAGGCAGGUCUCUGGGCCAUAACUGACGCUGAGAAGCGAAAGCAUGGGGAGCGAACAGG